rnacentral:rRNA from 1 species
UACAGAGGUCUCAAGCGUUGUUCGGAUUCAUUGGGCGUAAAGGGUGCGUAGGCGGCCCGGUAAGUCCGCUGUAAAAGUCCAGGGCUCAACCCUGGAAAGCCGGUGGAUACUGUCGGGCUAGAGUCCGGAAGAGGCGAGUGGAAUUCCUGGUGUAGCGGUGGAAUGCGCAGAUAUCAGGAGGAACACCAAUAGCGAAGGCAGCUCGCUGGGACGGUACUGACGCUGAGGCGCGAAAGCGUGGGGAGCGAACAGG